UACGAAGGGGGCUAGCGUUGUUCGGAAUUAUUGGGCGUAAAGAGCUCGUAGGCGGUUUGUCACGUCUGCUGUGAAAUCCCGAGGCUCAACCUCGGGCCUGCAGUGGGUACGGGCAGACUGGAGUGCGGUAGGGGGAGAAUGGAAUUCCUGGUGUAGCGGUGGAAUGCGCAGAUAUCAGGAGGAACACCGAUGGCGAAGGCAGUUCUCUGGGCCGUAACUGACGCUGAGGAGCGAAAGCGUGGGGAGCGAACAGG
rnacentral:rRNA from 1 species